rnacentral:rRNA from 1 species
CGGAGUUUACAACUCCCAAACCCCUGUGAACAUACCUAUACGUUGCCUCGGCGGAUCAGCCCGCGCCCCGUAAAACGGGACGGCCCGCCCGAGGACCCUAAACUCUGUUUUUAGUGGAACUUCUGAGUAAAACAAACAAAUAAAUCAAAACUUUCAACAACGGAUCUCUUGGUUCUGGCAUCGAUGAAGAACGCAGCAAAAUGCGAUAAGUAAUGUGAAUUGCAGAAUUCAGUGAAUCAUCGAAUCUUUGAACGCACAUUGCGCCCGCCAGUAUUCUGGCGGGCAUGCCUGUUCGAGCGUCAUUUCAACCCUCAAGCUCAGCUUGGUGUUGGGACUCGCGGUAACCCGCGUUCCCCAAAUCGAUUGGCGGUCACGUCAAGCUUCCAUAGCGUAGUAAUCAUACACCUCGUUACUGGUAAUCGUCGCGGCCACGCCGUUAAACCCCAACUUCUGAAUGUUGACCUCGGAUCAGGUAGGAAUACCCGCUGAACUUAAGCAUAUCAAUAAGCGG